AGUGAACGCUGGCGGUAGGCCUAACACAUGCAAGUCGAACGGCAGCACAGUAAGAGCUUGCUCUUACGGGUGGCGAGUGGCGGACGGGUGAGGAAUACAUCGGAAUCUACUUUUUCGUGGGGGAUAACGUAGGGAAACUUACGCUAAUACCGCAUACGACCUACGGGUGAAAUCAUGGGAUCUUCGGACCUUUCGCGAUUGAAUGAGCCGAUGUCGGAUUAGCUAGUUGGCGGGGUAAAGGCCCACCAAGGCGACGAUCCGUAGCUGGUCUGAGAGGAUGAUCAGCCACACUGGAACUGAGACACGGUCCAGACUCCUACGGGAGGCAGCAGUGGGGAAUAUUGGACAAUGGGCGCAAGCCUGAUCCAGCCAUACCGCGUGGGUGAAGAAGGCCUUCGGGUUGUAAAGCCCUUUUGUUGGGAAAGAAAAGCAGCAGGUUAAUACCCCGCUGUUCUGACGGUACCCAAAGAAUAAGCACCGGCUAACUUCGUG
rnacentral:rRNA from 1 species